rnacentral:tRNA from 1 species
GAGGGUAUAGCUCAGUGGUACAGUGUGUGCUUAAAUUAGCAUGCACAAGGUCCUGGGUUCAAUCCCCAGUACCUCCA